rnacentral:rRNA from 1 species
UACGUAGGGUGCGAGCGUUGUCCGGAUUUAUUGGGUUUAAAGGGUACGUAGGCGGGGAAAUAAGUCAGUGGUGAAAGACUUUGGCUUAACUAAGGCAAUGCCAUUGAUACUGUUUUUCUUGAAUUUCGUAGAGGCUCUUGGAAUUUGUGGUGUAGCGGUGAAAUGCAUAGAUACCACAAGGAACACCGACAGUGAAGACAGAGAGCUUGGCGAAUAUUGACGCUGAGGUACGAAAGCGUGGGUAUCAAACAGG